rnacentral:lncRNA from 1 species
AUGGCAGAAGUGGACUCAAGCCUUGCUGGGAGCUCAGCAGAUGAGCGCAGGGCUGAGGGCCCCCAGAGACGCUGCCUGGCACACAGUGAGAAAUCAACAGAGGGUUGUUCCCCUCCAUUUUCCUCAGAGAAAGGAAAGCCAUCUGGGGACGAAAGGUCGGGAGAGAGAAGGGACGUCCACCAGCAGCCUACUCUCCUCAUGGCAUCUUCUGAGAUCAAUCGAGGCCAGUCUGGAGUCCCAUUUCCUCAGGACAGUGGACACAGUGAAUCUGAGGUGCUUUCUGGUCUUAAGGAACCUCUGGACCCCAAACCUCCCCUGCCCUCCUUGCUUCUGCUCCACAGCUGGGCCCUCCUCGCCAGGGUGGGAACGAGGCACACGCUUCCCCGGUCUCCUUCGAGUCCCUUCCCCCCGACCCCAGCCUGCCCUGGCCUGAGCUCCUCACCAGCACCUGUAAACGGCCUCUGGAUCUCAUCGCCUGUCUCCCUGCGGGAAGGUGUCCUUCUGGGCAGGGGUCUGUGCCUGUUUCUCGUGGUUUUGUCCCAAGCCCUUGAACAAUGUCUGGUGCACAGGCAGAUAAGAGUAAGAAGCCAGACAGCAGCCUCAGCCCCUCGUUGUGCAGCCCGAGUGUUUCAGGCUCACAGCACCUGCCACAGUGGGUCGUAGUGUCAUAUAAAUAUGCAUCUCCACCACACAGAUGAGAAGGAAGGAGACUAGGCCUGGAUGAGUGCUCAGUCAUGUUGCCAGUAACCUGACACUUGACCUCAGGUCUGUUGAGUUUCAAAGCCCAAUUUUUCAGUCACUGUGGAACACUGCCUCCUUUGAGCCUAUGGAACCCUAACCUACACACAACACAUCUAUCUCUACCCGUCUUUCCUUCGGUCUGUCCAUUUGUCCAGUUAUCCACAAUUUCUAUACCUACACUUUUACAUCUAUCAUCCAUCCAUCCACAUAAUCCAUCAUCCAUCCAUCCAUCCAUCUAAUCUAUCACCUAUCUAUCCAUCCAUUUAAUCCAUCAUCUAUCUAUCCAUCCAUCCACCUAUCAUCCAUCCAUCCAUCCAUCCAUCCAUCUAAUAUAUCAUAUCCAUCCAUCUGAUCCAACAUCUAUGUAUUCACCCAUCCGUCUAAUCUAUCAUCUAUCCAUCCAUCCAUCCAUGUAUGCAUGCAUCCAUCUAUCUAAUCCAUCAUCCAUCUAUCCAUCCAUCCAUCUAAUCCGUCAUCUAUCUAUCCAUCCAUCCACCAUACAAUGAGAUACACGUGCACACCUCAGUCCUUGAAGGGACGUGCAUCCACCUGGCCCCGAGCAUCACCCACCCCACCUCCAGGAUGGGCUUCCCCUGUCUGCUAUGCCCUCCUGAUCCAUUCUGCUGCUCCAGAGAGAGCUCCCCGCCUGGCUGCUCCUGGCUGUGUCCCCUCUUUGCUGGCGUGCUGCCUUCCAGUGGGAUUAGGACCUCCCUCUCAAAGAACUUCCCUUGGUGCCUGUUUCCUGCCUGUCAGUCUCACAGAGACCAUCAACCCAAGGACCAUAAAAAGUACCAACUCGAAGGGGCCCCUUGCACCCCCACUGGAAGUGGCUGUUUGUCUGCAGGGAAGUGGCAUUACAGGAACUGAAGGGAUGGGACCCUUUACUUCUGACAUCACACUCACAGUGAGGCUGAAGGAGGCAGUAAAGAGAGAGCAACAAGGCCGAGAGAGGAGUCUGCGCCUGGGCCUGGCUGCGUGGGACACAGCCUUCUCUGGGGCCUCUGUUUGCGCCCCUUGGUCCGGGGUGUGGGCCCUGCUCCCGGCUCCAGCACUGCUGGCCUGAGUCCUGGCUGCGGCUGAUGGACACGACAGCAGCCAGGGGUGGGAGCUCCUUUGGAUGGAUUAAAACAUGGACCUGUAACUUGAGUCACAUCUUUAGUUUGUAGCAAACUUCUGAAGUCAACCGCACUCCUGGGAGCGAGGCCUCUUUUCUGGUGCAGAAUCUGCCUUUGUGGAAAGAAAAAUAAAGCCAUUUUGUUUGUUUCA